AGUGGUGUGCAAAUAGCAAUCGAAAAUAUAAAUGUCAAUAAUCCACAUAAGCCCAAACGAGUUACACGGCGCCGUUUAAUCUGAACGAAAAGCUUCAGAAGCAGCGUGAUUCCUCGAAGCUCAGUAGUUGAAUUGAAUCUCUUUGCUCUGAACCCUACAUUGCUACCAGAAAUGAAGAAAGGAGUACACCCACAGAAGCAAUGGAUAUCAUAUGUUACUCAAUCGGGUCGGUUGUUGCAUGUCAUGAUGACAAAGAUUCACCCUGUUGGUAAAGUCUAUCACUUUCGUGCUAAGCGUCAAAUGGCUGAGAGUUUGGGACAGAUUGCCAAGUUCAAACGUCGUUUCGGGUUAGAAAAUCCAGAGGCUAGUGCCAGUGCCAGUACAAGUGCAAAUGCUGUUGAGAAAAAAUGAUUUUUCCUACCUCAAAUGGAAGUUUGUUUUUUAAUUUCAUGCAAGUUUUUGGAAAUAUUCAACAAAAAUGGUCAUGCUCUGAAGUGGUUUCUGUUCAUUUCUUGUAUUUGGUAUGUCUAGUUAAACUGCAGAUAUGUUUUUUGUUUUGAUUCAUACUAACUGAUAUGCUUAGCAGUUUAAUUUUUGUUAGUAUUCAUAGUACUGUUUGAAGUUGGGAUUCUUGUUAACACUUUCUGAAAUUAUGGAUAAAUAAUAUUUGAUGUUAUGAACCGGGAUACACUGGUAUUUUUGUUGAAGGAGCAAUUUAAUGCUUUCAAUUCAAUGAUCACUUACGGUGUGAUUAUUUA